GAAAAUCUAUGAAAGGGAUACGCAAACUCUCAAUAGCCUGUACCGAAUCCACAGCAGGUCUCCAAGAUUAAGAGUCUCUAGUCGAUAGAACAAUGUAGGUAAGGGAAGUC
rnacentral:ncRNA from 1 species